AAAUUUGCUGCUGGUUCCUAUAGUCAUGAUCAAUCAUUAUCGUCGUUCCUAAUUUACGAUAUUGAAAAAAGUGAUCUGGUAAUGGAUAAAAAUUGUGAAGGUUUUUUCGCCAACUACUAUGGGAGGAUCCUCACACUGUUCUCAUGUGUUUUGAUCAAUCUAUUAAAAAAAUGGAUAUGAGAGUAUCCGAUUUUGUACGUACAUGGAAUUCUUCGCAAUAUGAACAUUCAUUUUGUUGCUCAUCAGAUAAUAUGUACACUUUUAUGACGGGACAUUUUGAGUGUGUUUUAUGGGA